GCAUCAAUGGUCUAACGGUUAUGAUUCAACCUUCCCAAGGUUGGGACCCGCGUUCGACUCGCGGUUGAUGCA